ACGGGGCAAUGCUCAGUACGGCGAGUGAAGCGGCAAAAGCUCAAAUUUGAAAUCUGGUACCUUCGGUGCCCGAGUUGUAAUUUGUAGAAGGUAACUUUGGGGCUGGUCCUUGUCUAUGUUCCUUGGAACAGGACGUCAUAGAGGGUGAGAAUCCCGUGUGGCGAGGAUCCCAGUUCUAUGUAAAGUGCUUUCGAAGAGUCGAGUUGUUUGGGAAUGCAGCUCUAAGUGGGUGGUAAAUUCCAUCUAAAGCUAAAUAUUGGCGAGAGACCGAUAGCGAACAAGUACAGUGAUGGAAAGAUGAAAAGAACUUUGAAAAGAGAGUGAAAAAGUACGUGAAAUUGUUGAAAGGGAAGGGCAUUUGAUCAGACAUGGUGUUUUGCGCCCUCUGCUCCUCGUGGGUGGGGGAAUCUCGCAGCUCACUGGGCCAGCAUCAGUUUUGGCGGUAGGAUAAAUCUGCAGGAAUGUAGCUUGCUUCGGCAAGUGUUAUAGCCUGUUGAAAUACUGCCAGCCGGGACUGAGGACUGCGACUUUUAGUCAAGGAUGCUGGCAUAAUGGUUAUAUGCCGCCCGUCUUGAAACACGGGACCCAA
rnacentral:rRNA from 1 species